ensembl:lncRNA
GGGUGGGUAGGGGAGGACGGGUGGGAGAAGGGAAAUGGGAUUGUCAUGUAAAACAAUUCUGUUUCUAAUUCAAAUAAAAAAGUUGGAAAAAAAAUUUCUAAUAAAUUUAAGAUAUACAGAGGUACAACUUUACUUUUAUAGAAUACAUAUGCCUUUUAUGAAUCUUACUGGGAACACAGACAAUUAAUAGAAACAAAAUCUAGACUGUAGUUCCAUCUGGAGUCAAGUUAUUUGAACACAGGAAAUAAUUGUUCUUCGCUGUAAAUACUGGUCAUAGUUUUUUCUCCCUUGGUCUUCUUUUCUUCUAUUGUAUUAUGAAUAUUUUUUAAAAAAUAUUUUUGUCUUAUAAUUAAACACAAUGUCCAAAAUAUACUAUGUCAAAAAUAGAGGAUAAAAUAGAAUUGUCUUCCUAAUAAGUAAUUAUAUAUAAUAACAUUUCCAUAAAUAAUUUCAUGAAUAUCUGUCACAUGGAGUGAAAAUUAACCUAUAAAUAGUUCAUUUCAGAGAUACCAAAAAGUACAAAUGGUCCAUUGAAGCUAUUCACAAUUUGGAGUAUUGAAAAGCCAUAAUUAUUUUAUAACAAAAUUUUAUCAUUUUAAGAAAUAUUUUUUGUUAUCUAGAAAAAGUUCCAGUAUGAUUUCCUUGUAAUAGUUUGUCUCUCUUUCAUCUUAUAUACCUCAGCUUAUAUGUAUUUGUCUCUCUGUGAUUUCUUUCCUGAGUGUCUAUCUCUGAUUGUCUCUCUUUGAAGAAAUGAUGUAGUUUCUGAAAUUUCCUUAGUUUAUUAAUGAGAGAGAAGAGUUGGUCCCAGUGUUUCAAGGUAAUGAAAGGUGUGCUCAGGACCAGCACAUUUAACAAUGCAGCAAAUGUUAGAUGUUAAUGUGAUAGUUUACAAUUGGUAUUUUAAAUACCUUCUAAUUAACUUUUAAAUUCUUGCCAAGUAUGCUAAUGAUAUAAUCUAUCAUCAGGACUUAAUUUGUGAUUUAGAUUAUUUUAUUGUCAAUUUUCUUUUUAAAGAUGGAUAUUGUGUUUUAGUUUCCUGUUCCCUAUGCUUUCAAAGACUUCUUAACAGAAUAUCUUGGGAAAGUGAAUUAGAAAUAGUUAAAAUGACUAUUUAUUCAUACAUUUAUUGGAAGACUGAAGUGUACAAAAAGCCAUAGAAUAUGAAUAUGGUUGUGGUAGUUAGUUUCAAGAUAUUUGUAGUUUAUAACUGGUAAGCAACAGUGACAAAAUAUGGUCUAUGCGGCACAACCACUGAUAUGUAAAUCUGUUGCAUGGAAAGGGAAGGAUGGUUGACUUGUAAAAUUACCUUGAAUUAUAUAAUAUUUUAAAUGCUUAGAGUGUAAUAUAAUCAAAUUAUAUAUUUUGAAAAUAUUUUGUAUAUGCUAAUUUGUAGUCUUAUGUACAAUGGAUUGCAAAUAUUACUACACUAGUGACUGAAUAAAAUGGAAGCCCUAAGAAAGAAUUCUAUUCAAAUGUUGAUUUACUGCCAAACAUGUAUUUCUACAAUUGAGAGAAAAGUAGAACUCCAUGUAAAAGUUUUAUGUAUUGUGAAAUAUUACUAAUAUUAUCUCUUUGUUCAGAAAAAGUACUGGAAAAACAGAUGAGAUUCCUCAACCUGAUGAGUCACACAACAUAGCUGUAUAUACCAGACAAGAACGUGGACCUAUGUUUACUGACGAACAAAUAGCUACAAUGAAGUUUGUAGAGUUCUUAGCUAUCUUAAAGAAACUGAACAUAUUAUGUUUUACCUUCUGUGGAGCUUAUAUUCUUAAAUAUAAUUGAGAAUGCAUACUCUUCACCAUGCAUGACACUUGGUGUUGUGGGCUUCGGAGAAAGUUAAUCCAGCCUUAAGUGAUAGAGCUUUGUGGAAACAAUGGGUGAAAUUCUCUCUGAUGGGUGGCUGGAUGAGAUAUUUUAUGAAAUAACAAAGUAGCCAACUUAUUGUCUCAGGUAAGUGUCCUCUGUGCAAAGGAACCAAAUGUGAAAGAAUGGGUCUGACAGCAUAGUUUGUAACACACUGACCUGCAAGGAGGUCACUUUUCCUGACAAGUGUAAC